rnacentral:pre_miRNA from 1 species
GAAUAAAUUUAAUGCUGGGUUGGCAUAAGGUGGUACCAUGUAACAUUUUAACCCAUAGUACGAUCCAUGCCGACUCAGUAAUAAAUUACAAU